AAUCCGAAAGGAUUAGUUGCAAAGCCAGUAGCAGAUAAUACAUUCAUUGUUGAAUUUGCCUCCCCAAUAGACAAGGAAAGGGUUAUAGAUGGGGCUCCUUGGAAAGUAGGAAAGCAUGCAGUUUUAUUGAAUGAAUUUGUUCAGACAUUGAAACCAUCAGAGGUGGCUUUUGACAGAAUAACGUUAUGGGCAAGGAUAAUGAACCCUCGGUUUGAGUUGAUGAAUAAAACUUGGGGACAAUCUCUGGGGGGUAAGCUUGGUAAGGUGGAGAAAGUCGAUGUGGAUGAACAAGGUAGAGCAUGUGGUAAUUGUUUACGGGUUAGGGUCUCAGUCGAGGUAGCACAACCAUUGAGGAGAUGGGUCACGGCAUACUCACAGAAACACCAGGCAACAGAAAUAUAUGAAGUUAGAUAUGAAAGACUACCUCACUACUGCUUCUCCUGUGGCAUCAUUGGUCACUCCUCACUAGAAUGUCCAACACCAGGAGAGAGAGAUAAGGAUGGAAAACUACCAUACAAUGCUGAUAGAUUGUGUGUCAAAGAGGAUAAAAAGAAGGACCAUGGAUCUAUCAGCAUUGUAUGGAAAACUACCAUAUAUGAGGUUUUUCAGUGUCCAAAUCUGGACAGAGUUCCCAGUCAAGCGGCAGAAGCUCAUAUUAUGAAGACAAGCAUGGGGACUCACUUGCCUCUCCAAAACACAAUAUUGGAGAAAGAUGCACAGAAAGGAUGGGAUUUCCUGAAGAGGUUAACUCUCCAGUGA
rnacentral:rRNA from 1 species